AAAGCUCAAAUUUAAAAUCUGGCAGCAUUGGCUGUCCGAGUUGUAAUCUGGAGAAGCAUUUUCUGUGUCGGACCGUGCACAAGUUUCCUGGAACGGAAUGUCAUAGAGGGUGAGAAUCCCGUCCAUGGCACGGACCACCGAUGCAUUGUGAUAUGCUCUCGAAGAGUCGAGUUGUUUGGGAAUGCAGCUCAAAAUGGGUGGUAAAUUCCAUCUAAAGCUAAAUAUUGGCGAGAGACCGAUAGCGAA
rnacentral:rRNA from 1 species